rnacentral:rRNA from 1 species
GCAAGUCGAGCGCUCAUAGCAAUAUGGGAGCGGCGAACGGCGUAUAUACGUAGAACGUACCCUCGGGUCGAGGAUAGCUACGGGAAACUGUAGGUAAUACUCGAUAAUCUCUGCGGAGCAAAGGUGUGGUUUCGCCCGGGGAGCGGCUUACGCGAUAUUAGCUAGUUGGUAGGGUAAUGGCCUACCAAGGCGAAGAUGUCUAGGGGGUGUGAGAGCAUGGCCCCCACGACCGGAACUGAGAUACUGUCCGGACACCUACGGGUGGCUGCAGUCGAGAAUCUUCCGCAAUGGACGAAAGUCUGACGGAGCGACGCCGCGUGCGGGAUGAAGGCCCUUGGGUUGUAAACCGCUGUCAGAGGGGAUGAAAUCUUCGGAGGUACUCCUCCGAAGUUGACAGAGCCUCAAAGGAAGCACGGGCUAAGUACGUGCCAGCAGCCGCGGUAACACGUACUGUGCGAACGUUAUUCGGAAUCACUGGGCUUAAAGGGUGCGUAGGCGGCGAUUCAAAGUCAGAUGUGAAAUGCCUGAGCUCAACUGAGGCAUUGCGUUUGAAACUGAACCGCUAGAGUAUUUCAGGGGUGUGCGGAACUGCCAGUGGAACGGUGAAAUGUGUUGAUAUUGGCAGGA